UACGUAGGGGGCAAGCGUUGUCCGGAUUUAUUGGGCGUAAAGAGCGUGUAGGCGGCCUGACAAGUCUGCUGUGAAAACUCGAGGCUCAACCUCGAGAUGUCGGCGGAAACUGUCUGGCUAGAGUCCGGAAGAGGAGAGUGGAAUUCCUGGUGUAGCGGUGAAAUGCGCAGAUAUCAGGAAGAACACCAACGGCGAAGGCAGCUCGCUGGGACGGUACUGACGCUGAGACGCGAAAGCGUGGGGAGCGAACAGG
rnacentral:rRNA from 1 species